AUGGAGCAAUUGGAGAAGAGGAUGGAUGCUGCUGAACAACAAAUCAAAGAGCUGCGUGAAGAUCUUAAUAGGAGAUUUGACCAGCUGGUUGAGAUGAUAAGAAAGGGUGUCCCCCCUGCUACCAAUGAAGGAGAUUCAUCUAAAGAAGAGGAAGAUGUUCAUCAAGGAAGAAGGAGAGGUAAUCUUGGAGCAAGACCGCCACGACAACAUGUUGUUCAACGUGCUUCAAGAAGGCCAAUUUAUGUUGAGGCUUCUGAAGGUGAAGAAUAUGAUGAUGCCCUUGAAGAGCCAAAUCUCUACGCAUAUCGGAGAGCACCCAACCCUACAUAUGCAAGAGAUACAUACAAGGUGAAAGCUGAGAUCCCAAGUUUUAAUGGAAAUGUUGACAUUGAAGGGUGCCUGGAUUGGUUAUAUGAAGUGGAGACUUCCUUUGAGGUCAUGGAGGUUUCGGAAGAUCGUAGAGUUCCUUUGGUCGCAUACAAACUGAAAGGAGGAGCCGGUGCAUGGUGGCAUCGCGUUCAAGAGGAGCGCAGGCUCAGAGGAGAACCUCGUGUUAGAACUUGGCGACAAAUGAAAGGCCUCUUGAAAGGGAGAUUUUUGCCCGCUGAUUAUGACCAGAUCCUAUUUAUCCAAUUUCAAAAUUGUGCUCAAGGAAAUAGGACUGUUUCAGAUUACACGGAGGAGUUUCUAAGGCUACAAGUGAGGUGCAACCUUGCUGAAACUGAAGAGCAACAAGUUGCAAGGUACAUCAAUGGUCUCAAUGAUGCUAUUCAAGAUCGAUUGAUGAUGCAACAAAUCUGGUCCGUUGAUCAAGCACAAGCUCUAGCCUUAAAGGCCGAGAGGUUUGUGAGGAUGAGAAAGACAACUAAGGCUCCAUAUCCUCCAUAUCCUCAUACCGAAGGCUCAUCUAGGAGCCAACCUAAUAGAGUGGAAGAAAAGACCACUCCACCAAAGACAAAACAGCCCAUCCCGAAGCAAACUAGAGGCAAGGGUAAGGCAAAUGAAGGCCCAAAGUGCUAUAAAUGUGGUAAAGAGGGACACAUAUCCAGCGGCUGCCCACUAAGGAAAUUUGUUAACACGACUAUCCAUGAUGGUGAAAGCGAUGAGGAAGAAUACGAAUCUGAAGAUGUAGACGGACAAGAGGUUUGUCAAGAAGAAGGUGAAGAGGUGGUAUGUGUGAUCCAGCGUGUCCUAUGUUCCACACCACAACUCGAUGACACACAACGGAAGAAAAUAUUUGAGAGCAAAUGCACGGUGAAUGGCAAGGUAUGCAAACUAGUGAUUGAUAGUUGCAGCUGCGAGAAUCUUAUCUCCCAGAAGUUGGUGGACCAUUUAAAGCUUGAAACCCAUGAUCAUCCAAAUCCCUACACUAUUGGAUGGAUCAAGAAAGGAGUGAGUAUGAGGAUCACCAAACAAUGCAACCUGCCACUUUCUUUGGGUAAGCAUUAUCGCUCAAAUGUGUUGUGUGAUGUGGUUGACAUGGAUGCCAGCCAUGUUCUUCUUGGGAGGCCUUGGCAAUUUGAUGUGGAUACUACACACAAGGGCAAGGAAAAUUCUUACUCUUUCAUUUGGAACAAGAGAAGGAUCAUUAUCUUACCAAACAAACCCGAAGGUAAUACCUCUAAGGAGGAGGGGAAAACUAUGUUAACUAUCUCCCAUACCACUCAUGAGUUUAUGGAAGACUUGAAGGAGGCAGAUUUGUGUGCUGCACUUGUUGUAAAGGGAGAAGAGCACCUGACUGUUGAAAUUCCAGGAAAGGUACGUGGUUUAUUGGCAGAAUUUCAGAACACACUUGGGGAGCCACAUGGCUUGCCACCGAUGAGAGGAAUUCAACAUAGAAUUGACUUAAUUCCGGAAGCAAGUCUUCCUAAUCUUCCACACUAUCGAAUGAGCCCAAAGGAGCAUGAUAUAUUGAAGGAGAAAGUGGAGGAAUUGUUGCAAAAGGGGCACAUUCGAGAAAGUAUUAGCCCAUGUGCUGUACCAGCCCUACUCGCGCCAAAGAAAGAUGGAUCUUGGCGCAUGUGUACGGACAGUAGAGCCGUUAACAAGAUCACCGUAAGGUAUAGGUUCCCUAUUCCCCGUCUGGAUGAUAUGUUGGAUCAGCUUAGUGGAGCAAGAGUGUUCACAAAGCUAGAUUUAAUAAGUGGAUAUCAUCAAAUCCGUAUAAGACCCGGGGAUGAAUGGAAGACCGCCUUCAAGACAAAGGAAGGGUUGUUUGAAUGGCUAGUCAUGCCAUUUGGACUCUCAAAUGCACCAAGUACCUUUAUGCACUUAAUGAAUCAAGUCCUUAGACCCUUCUUACCCCACUUUGUUGUGGUCUAUUUCGAUGACAUCUUGAUCUAUAGCAAGGAUGAGGAUGAACACUUUGAUCACAUUCGGAAGGUGCUAGAAGUACUAAGGGAAAAUGAGCUCUACGUCAACUUGAAGAAAUGUGUUUUCCUGCAAACACAACUUCUUUUCCUAGGAUUCGUCAUAACAUGUGACGGCAUUCGUGUUGAUGAUUCUAAGGUUGAAGCAAUCCGAGAAUGGCCAACUCCUAAGACCAUUUCUGAGGUAAGAAGCUUUCAUGGCCUUGCAACUUUCUAUAGGCGAUUUGUUAAGAAUUUCAGCACUAUCAUGGCACCAAUUACCGAGUGUUUGAAGAAAGGAAAGUUCCAAUGGGCAGAAGCAGCUGAAGCUAGCUUCAAUGAGAUUAAACAAAAGCUAUCACAAGCUCCUGUCUUGGUACUACCUGAUUUCAACAAGACUUUUGAGUUGGAGUGUGAUGCAAGUGGAGUAGGCAUUGGAGCUGUCCUAUCUCAAGAAAGGAAGCCCAUUGCUUUCUUUAGUGAGAAGUUAAGUGAAGCUAGACAGAAAUGGAGUACCUAUCAGCAAGAAUUAUACGCCGUUUUCAGAGCGUUGAAAACUUGGGAAGUCUAUUUGCUACCUAAAGAGUUCAUUGUUUAUAGCGACCAUCAAUCCUUGAAGCAUUUUAGAAAUCAAAAGCAUGUUGACCGCAUGCUAGCAAGAUGGGCAGCAUAUCUUGAGAGGUUUAACUAUCUCAUCGUGCAUAAAUCUGGAAUAACUAACAGAGUGGCCGAUGCUUUGAGUCAUCGUGCAUGCCUCUUGACUUCUUUUGAAGCUGAACUUCUGGGCAUGGGUCAAAUAAAGGAGUUGUAUGAGGGUGACGAAGACUUUGGCCAUGUUUGGGUAAAGCACGCAAGGGGCCAACCAUUAGGUGAUGACUAUUUGAUGCAAGAUGGAUAUCUCUUCAAAAAUGAUCAUUUGUGCAUUCCAAGAAGUUCUCUACGUGACAAGCUGGUUAGAGAGCUCCAUUCAAGUGAUCUUAGUGGCCGUGUUGGACGGGACAAGACUAUCGCUAACCUGGAAGCUCGCUACUUUUGGCCACAACUAAAGAGAGAUGCUGGAAAGUUCGUUCAACAGUGCCCCGUAUGUCAGACCUGCAAAGGCCAAGUCCAGAACACAGGGUUAUACAUGCCUUUGCCUGUUCCUGUUGCUCCAUGGGAGGACAUUUCUAUGGACUUCGUUUUGGGCUUGCCAAGAACAAGACGAGGAAGUGAUGUUGUAUUUGUGGUCGUGGAUAGAUUCUCUAAGAUGGCUCAUUUCAUCCCAUGCCGCAAGACAACGGAUGCUCAUCAUGUGGCAAACCUAUUCUUUCGAGAAGUGGUCAGACUUCAUGGAGUUCCAAGGUCCAUUGUCUCAGACUGUGAUAGCAAGUUUCUUGCUGCAUUUUGGCUCACUUUGUGGAAGCAAUUCAACACUGAAUUGAAAUUUUCUAGCACUGCUCAUCCACAAACAGAUGGACAAACGGAAGUGGUGAACAAGUUUUUGGGUAAUCUGAUCUGUUGCAUUUGUGGAGAAAGAAAGGGGCAAUGGGAUUUGGCUUUAUCUCUUGCAGAGUUCUCCUACAAUAACUCCAAGCAUAGAUCCACAGGAAGGAGCCCUUUUUCCAUUGUCUACACUAAAGUUUCAACACAUGUGGUGGACCUGGUGAAGCUGCCAUCAAGGGGAAACUCAAAAUCAGCAUUGUCCUUUGCUGAUAAUUACACCGAGUUAUUUGAAGAGAUUCGCGGCGCUUUGGAAGCACAAAAUCAGAAAUAUAAACAAAUUGCUGAUUGCAAAAAGAGGCCAAAAUCAUUCCAAGUCGGUGAUAAGGUGAUGGUCUACCUCCGAAAAGAGAGGCUGCCUUUAGGUGUUAAAGGGAAACUUAGGCAGCGAAGGUAUGGGCCCUUCUCUAUCACGAGGAAGAUAAAUGAUAAUGCUUAUGUGAUAGAUCUUCCAAGUGACAUGGGUAUCUCCAACACUUUCAAUGUUGCGGACUUGACUCUCUACCAUCCAGAAGAAGCGCUCUAUGAAGAUAACUCGAGGGCGAGUUCCAAACAACCAGGGGAGAUUGAUGAGGAACACUAG
rnacentral:rRNA from 1 species